rnacentral:rRNA from 1 species
GAUGAACGCUAGCUACAGGCUUAACACAUGCAAGUCGAGGGGUAACGAGAGGGAAGCUUGCUUUCCUUGUCGACGACCGGCGCACGGGUGAGUAACGCGUAUCCAACCUGCCCCCAACUAGGGAAUAACCUUGCGAAAGUAAGACUAAUACCCUAUAAUUUCCUCAGAUGACAUCUGACGAGGAAUAAAGAUUUAUCGGUUGUGGAUGGGGAUGCGUCUGAUUAGCUUGUUGGCGGGGUAACGGCCCACCAAGGCAACGAUCAGUAGGGGUUCUGAGAGGAAGGUUCCCCACAUUGGAACUUAGACACGGUCCAAACUCCUACGGGAGGCAGCAGUGAGGAAUAUUGGUCAAUGGGCGGAAGCCUGAACCAGCCAAGUAGCGUGCAGGAUGACGGCCCUAUGGGUUGUAAACUGCUUUUAUACAGGAAUAAAGUUAGCCACGUGUGGUUAUUUGUAGGUACUGUAUGAAUAAGGACCGGCUAAUUCCGUGCCAGCAGCCGCCGUAA